AACGAACGCUGGCGGCAGGCCUAACACAUGCAAGUCGAGCGAGGACUUCGGUUCUAGCGGCGGACGGGUGAGUAACGCGUGGGAAUGUGCCCUUCUCUACGGAAUAGCCCUGGGAAACUGGGAGUAAUACCGUAUACGCCCUAUUGGGGAAAGAUUUAUCGGAGAAGGAUCAGCCCGCGUUGGAUUAGGUAGUUGGUGGGGUAAUGGCCUACCAAGCCGACGAUCCAUAGCUGGUUUGAGAGGAUGAUCAGCCACACUGGGACUGAGACACGGCCCAGACUCCUACGGGAGGCAGCAGUGGGGAAUCUUAGACAAUGGGGGCAACCCUGAUCUAGCCAUGCCGCGUGAGUGAUGAAGGCCUUAGGGUUGAAAAGCUCUUUCAGCUGGGAAGAUAAUGACGGUACCAGCAGAAGAAGCCCCGGCUAACUCCGUG
rnacentral:rRNA from 1 species